AAGACGAACCGUACGAACGUUAUUCGGAAUCACUGGGCUUAAAGGGUGCGUAGGCGGCGCGGAAAGUUGGGUGUGAAAUCCCUCGGCUCAACCGAGGAACUGCGCCCAAAACUACCGUGCUCGAGGGAGACAGAGGUGAGCGGAACUUAGGGUGGAGCGGUGAAAUGCGUUGAUAUCCUAAGGAACACCUGUGGCGAAAGCGGCUCACUGGGUCUCUUCUGACGCUGAGGCACGAAAGCUAGGGGAGCGAACG
rnacentral:rRNA from 1 species